rnacentral:rRNA from 1 species
GACGAACGCUGGCGGCGUGCCUAAUACAUGCAAGUCGAGCGGACGGAUGGGAGCUUGCUCCCAGACCGUCAGCGGCGGACGGGUGAGUAACACGUGGGCAACCUGCCUGUAAGACUGGGAUAACUCCGGGAAACCGGGGCUAAUACCGGAUAACUCUUUCCCUCCCAUGAGGGAAAGCUGAAAGAUGGCAUCUCGCUAUCACUUACAGAUGUGCCCGCGGCGCAUUAGCUAGUUGGUGAGGUAACGGCUCACCAAGGCGACGAUGCGUAGCCGACCUGAGAGGGUGAUCGGCCACACUGGGACUGAGACACGGCCCAGACUCCUACGGGAGGCAGCAGUAGGGAAUCUUCCGCAAUGGACGAAAGUCUGACGGAGCAACGCCGCGUGAGUGAUGAAGGUGUUCGGAUCGUAAAACUCUGUUGUCAGGGAAGAACAAGUACCGGAGUAACUGCCGGUACCUUGACGGUACCUGACCAGAAAGCCACGGCUAACUACGUG